rnacentral:rRNA from 1 species
UACGAGGGGGGCUAGCGUUACUCGGAAUUACUGGGCGUAAAGGGCGCGUAGGCGGCGCUCCAAGUUAGGCGUGAAAGUCCUGGGCUCAACCUGGGAACUGCGCUUAAGACUGGAGUGCUUGAGGAUGGAAGAGGGUCGUGGAAUUCCCAGUGUAGAGGUGAAAUUCGUAGAUAUUGGGAAGAACACCGGUGGCGAAGGCGGCGACCUGGUCCAUUACUGACGCUGAGGCGCGACAGCGUGGGGAGCAAACAGG